UGGGGGAUGUAGCUCAGUGGUAG
rnacentral:piRNA from 1 species